GUCCAUAGUUUAUUUAUGUGCUUUAUCACUUUAUAUAUUAAGCAUAAAUAUAUGUGGCACGGCAUUGAUAGUUUUCGAUGGCCUAUAUUUUGCCGGAUGCCAGUAACCCAAUCCAGCAUAUCCCUACUCUCUGCCCACAGCCAUGUCUCUACUUAACAUAUUAUACAUAUUACAACUUGAAAGAUAUUAUUUGCACUUCACUUGGUUGGACUAGAAUACUGGGUUUGGUGGAUAAUCCAAUAUAUAUAAGUUAGAGUUAUAAACCGAGAAGGAGGUUUAUAACUGAUAUAUUGCCCCCCAAGGACGCGUAGUGUCCAAGGGCAAUAUAUCAGUUAUAAACAGAUUUUCGAAGUUUAUAACUAACUUAUAUCUCAUUUGUGGAG